UCUCCUUCCAUUUCCUAGUCUGUAAACAAAACGGAACGGAGGACUCAGGAGUGACGACUGAGGAGUGAGGAGUGAGGAGUGAGGAGUGAGGACUGAUCUGAGCUUUCGGUAUUGAUAAGAGAACACAAUCGUCGCCAACGUGCUUGCUUAAGGUCAAGGAGAUCAUCACUGAAGGAGGUAGAGAGAGCAUGUACAACUAAUUCCAUACAUGACACCAUUCUAUGAGCCAACGUCCAAGAACACCUCCAGGGACCUGAGAUGAAGUGGAAUUGAUAAUGAUGCUGGUUGUUCCUGUUCUCGUAGUGUCACCACAUUCUUGCUGACAUCAUUGUUCGUGGUUCUGCUGGUUUGCCUUGAAGGUCUUAGACCAAGUCUUCCCAAAGAUCAUGAGGAACCAGGAUUACUGUGUGGGAGGUUCGAAGAGAAAGAAAAAUCAUUGUGGGAGUGCGUUUGAUUUCUGAGUUUAACUUUCAGAUGAUGUUCUUGCUGUGUACACACAUUCAGAUGAGAGAUCGAUGAUCCACAGAUUCUUUCCUACACGUUUUUGUUCUUAGACUUUGUCUUUUGUAACUGGUUUUUGUAUUCAAUGUCUUUUUAACGAAAACAUCUCUUCUCUGUUGCAGAUCAUGGAGGCACCAGGGGGGACUGAUAUGACAAAUCUUUCUUCUGAUCGUGGAGGUUCAAGGCCUUCUUGGUGGGAAGGAUGGUUGGCUCAUAACUUCGAGUUUCUGAAAUCACUUCACUUUGCAGAUGUAAGAUAUGUCUUGCAAACGAGUUUGUUCUUCUAUCGUAUCUUCCCAUGCAAAAGGCUCGACAAAUUCAGGUAUUCAUUCCGUUUUCCCUCCCAAAUCUGUUGCAAUCAAUUUGUUUUAAUACUACUUAUUUCGGGUUCCUGAGAUUUGGACUGUGCCAUUGGGGAGUCUUCAACAUUAUUUUGCUAUGUAAUUGAAAAUUUCAGUUAACAGUAAUGUCGCUGAUCUUCCCUAUCUUCCUAGUGAAGUUGGCAUGUAUGUUUUACUUUUAAGCCCAAGACCCUUUAUUUUUGUGGAGGAGGAUGCUUUGAUCGGCUGGUGAUGCUUUUGAUGGAUCGUUUUUGUCUUCUCUGCGCUACAUCUUCAGGUUUUGGAUGAUGCUUUUAUCGAUGAGAGUGAUGGCUUU